UCCUGGUGUCAGCCAGGAUGUACUCUUAUCUGAAAGCUCCAAGGAAGAACUGAUUUCAGCUUUAUUCAGACUCUUCAGAUGGAAGAGAACUGUCAUUAUCUACUCAGUCUGACAUCUUAAACUAAAAGUCCGAUCACACUCACAAUGAAUGCUAUCUAUUGCCAAAGAAAAAUUGCCCUGGACAAGGUUAAACCAUCAAGGAAGACUUUACUCAGG